rnacentral:rRNA from 1 species
CCCUUAGAUGUUCUGGGCCGCACGCGCGCUACACUGACGGAGGCAGCGAGCGUGUCCUUCGCCGGCAGGUGCGGGCAAUCUUGCGAGUCUCCGUCGUGCUGGGGAUAGAUGGUUGCAAUUGUCGAUCUUGAACGAGGAAUUCCUAGUAAGCGCGAGUCAUCAGCUCGCGCUGAUUACGUCCCUGCCCUUUGUACACACCGCCCGUCGCUACUACAGAGUGCCCGUGUCCAAGAAACGGUCGGACCUGUGCGGCCUCUCCGGGCGACCGGAGGGCCGUUACGGGGAAGACCCUUUAUGUGACGCGGGUCGAGGAAGUAAAAGUCGUAACA